rfam:Pteropus alecto contig48934, whole genome shotgun sequence.
GUCUAUGGCCAUGCUACCCUGAACAAGCCUCAUGCUGUCCUAUCUCGGAAGCUAAGCAGGGUCGGGCCUGGUUUGUACUUGGAUGGGUGACCACCUAGGAAGACCAGGUGCUGUAGGCA